rnacentral:lncRNA from 10 species
UGUGGGUUGUCUUUUGUCUUUUUUAUUUUUUAUUGCUUGUGUUUUGGUAUCAUUAUUGAUAAUUCAUUGUUAAAUUAAAGGUCAUGAAGAGUUACUCUUACUUUUUCUUCUAUAAUUUUUCAUUUAAAAAUCAGUUAUUACCCACUCCCACCACUUCUAUUCAACAUAGUACUGGAAGUACUAUCAAGAGAGAGCAAUUAGACAAGAAAAAGAAAUUAAAGAUAUCUAAAUUGGAAAGGAAGAAGUAAAAUGAUCUCUCUUUGC